GGUGACUCAUAAUAACUUUACGGAUCACAUUAAAUGUGACAUAUCAUUCAAGUUUCUGACCUAUCAGCUUUAGACGGUAGGGUAUUGGCCUACCGUGGCGAUGACGGGUAACGGGGAAUUAGGGUUCGAUUCCGGAGAGGGAGCCUGAGAAACGGCUACCACAUCUAAGGAAGGCAGCAGGCGCGCAAAUUACCCAAUCCUAAUACAGGGAGGUAGUGACAAGAAAUAACAAUACAGGACUUUUUGGUUUUGUAAUUGGAAUGAGUUAAGUAUAAACCCCUUUACAAGUAUCAAUUGGAGGGCAAGUCUGGUGCCAGCAGCCGCGGUAAUUCCAGCACCAAUAGCGUAUAUUAAAGUUGUUGCAGUUAAAAAGCUCGUAGUUGGAUUUCUGUUAAUAAUUUAUAUAAAAUAUUUUGAUGAAUAUUUAUAUAAUAUUAACAUAAUUCAUAUUACUAUAUAUUUUAGUAUAUGAAAUUUUACUUUGAGAAAAUUAGAGUGCUUAAAGCAGGCAUAUGCCUUGAAUACUCCAGCAUGGAAUAAUAUUAAAGAUUUUUAUCUUUCUUAUUGGUUCUAAGAUAAGAAUAAUGAUUAAUAGGGACAGUUGGGGGCAUUUGUAUUUAACAGUCAGAGGUGAAAUUCUUAGAUUUGUUAAAGACAAACUAAUGCGAAAGCAUUUGCCAAGGAUGUUUUCAUUAAUCAAGAACGAAAGUUAGGGG
rnacentral:rRNA from 1 species